rnacentral:lncRNA from 1 species
UGGGCGUCCAUUAUUCUCCAAGCCACUCGGUCAGAGAAUGAUCCUUGUCCACCAUAAUAAGGAAACCAGAAGUAGUCCCCAAGCAUAAUUUUCGUCAGAUUAGGGAAUGUGGUCUUCCACAACUUAUUCUCAAAAACAUUGAAGAAAUAGCAAGAUUUCUUAGCAUGGGCUGACAGCAGAACCAUGUAGGGGCUCUGGGCGUCCAUUAUUCUCCAAGCCACUCGGUCAGAGAAUGAUCCUUGUCCACCAUAAUAAGGAAACCAGAAGUAGUCCCCAAGCAUAAUUUUCGUCAGAUUAGGGAAUGUGGUCUUCCACAACUUAUUCUCAAAAACAUUGAAGAAAUAGCAAGAUUUCUUAGCAUGGGCUGACAGCAGAACCAUGUAGGGGCUCUGGGCGUCCAUUAUUCUACGCCUGCAUGCAGCAGCAAAAUUUCUCCAAGCCUUGCAAACACGAGAAAACACAAGGAA